AUGCUUAACACAUGCAAGUCGGGCGGUAACACUUCGGGUGACGAGCGGCGGACGGGUGCGUAACGCGUGAGAAUCUGCCUUUUAGUGGGGGACAACCCGAGGAAACUCGGGCUAAUACCGCAUAUGUCCUACGGGAUAAAGCAGGGGACCUUCGGGCCUUGCGCUAAAAGAUGAGCUCGCGUGAGAUUAGCUUGUUGGUAGGGUAAAAGCCUACCAAGGCAACGAUCUCUAGCUGGUCUGAGAGGAUGAUCAGCCACACUGGGACUGAGACACGGCCCAGACUCCUACGGGAGGCAGCAGUGGGGAAUAUUGGACAAUGGGGGCAACCCUGAUCCAGCAAUUCCGCGUGUGUGAAGAAGGCCUUCGGGUUGUAAAGCACUUUCAGUAGCCAAGAUGGGAUUUCAUAGUAAUAUUGGAAGUCUUGACAUUAACUACAGAAGAAGCACCG
rnacentral:rRNA from 1 species